rnacentral:tRNA from 1 species
ACUUAAAUAGCUUAAGGUAGAGCAUAAUAUUGAAGCUAUUAUUGUGAUUUUUAUAAUCUUUGAGUA